rnacentral:rRNA from 1 species
GUGAGGAAUCUUCCGCAAUGGACGAAAGUCUGACGGAGCAACGCCGCGUGAGUGAUGAAGGUCUUCGGAUUGUAAAGCUCUGUUAAUCGGGACGAAAGAGCCUAGUGUGAAUAAUGCUAGGAAGUGACGGUACCGGAAUAGAAAGCCACGGCUAACUACGUGCCAGCAGCCGCGGUAAUACGUAGGUGGCAAGCGUUGUCCGGAAUUAUUGGGCGUAAAGCGCGCGCAGGCGGAUCUGCCAGUCUGUCUUAAAAGUUCGGGGCUUAACCCCGUGAUGGGAUGGAAACUACAGAUCUAGAGUAUCGGAGAGGAAAGUGGAAUUCCUAGUGUAGCGGUGAAAUGCGUAGAUAUUAGGAAGAACACCAGUGGCGAAGGCGACUUUCUGGACGAAAACUGACGCUGAGGCGCGAAAGCCAGGGGAGCGAACGGGAUUAGAUACCCUAGUAGUCC